CAGCGCGGGGCCCGAGCCGGGUCCGUUAAAACCGUUGGGAAUCAGCCCCGGCGCGCGGCCGUUAAAGUAUGACUGUGCAGGUCAGCCAGUGAGAACAGCGAGAAGAGUUUAAAAGGAAGACAGAUUUACAGAGUGAGCGUCAGAGGAGCGGGAGACAGAGUAGGAAGGCUUUGGCUCAACGGGGCUUCGGCGAUAAAGGGUCGAGGUGAGGCUGAGCCAGUCACGAUGUAACACACCCCGCACUGGUCUACAGUCUCUAAUUCUCCGAGGAGCUGGUACAUGAACCCAGGCAAUUCCCCGAUGAUGUGCGGAAGAGCAGGAAGCUGAAGAGGAUGGCAGCGGUAACAGG